UGAGGAAUAUUGGUCAAUGGGCGGAAGCCUGAACCAGCCAAGUAGCGUGCAGGAAGACGGCCCUCCGGGUUGUAAACUGCUUUUAGUUGGGAAUAAAACGGGGCUCGUGAGCCCCCUUGCAUGUACCAUCAGAAAAAGGACCGGCUAAUUCCGUGCCAGCAGCCGCGGUAAUACGGAAGGUCCGGGCGUUAUCCGGAUUUAUUGGGUUUAAAGGGAGCGCAGGCGGACCUUUAAGUCAGCUGUGAAAUACGGCGGCUCAACCGUCGAACUGCAGUUGAUACUGGAGGUCUUGAGUGCACACAGGGAUGCUGGAAUUCAUGGUGUAGCGGUGAAAUGCUCAGAUAUCAUGAAGAACUCCGAUCGCGAAGGCAGGCAUCCGGGGUGCAACUGACGCUGAGGCUCGAAAGUGCGGGUAUCAAACAGG
rnacentral:rRNA from 1 species